GGACAAAUGUGCAGCAGGCCCCUAAGCAUGUGUAGAAAUGUUGUCAUCAUUUCCACAUAGAAAGACUUGGAGGAAAUCAAAGAAGACAGUAAAAGUCACAAGAUCCUAUCCAACCUUCCCUUCCCUGAAUGACUGGGAAGAAUUCAGGGGCCUCUUGCCUGUGGAUCGAGAGCCGAACCCUGGAGUGGGCCUAGGUGUGGAGGAGGGACUGCUCUGCCAGGUGGUUCAUUCUCCAGAAUUCAACCUGUUUCCUGACUCCGUGGUGUUUGAAAGCAACUUCGUCCAGGUCAAAAGGGGCAGGAAUUGGAGAGACAUCUACAAAGCUUCCAACACCAUGGCCCUGGGGGUGACCUCCUCGGUACCCUGCCUGCCCCUCCCCAACAUCCUACUCAUGGCCAGUGUCAAAUGGCACCACGGGCAGAACCAGACAUGGAACAGACCAUCCAUAGCCCCCAACAUCUUCCUGAAGAGUUGAGGACAGUCACUGAGAAGAUUUAUUACCUAAAGCUCCACCCUGACCAUCCUGAGACUGUCUUCCACUUCUGGAUCCGACUGGUUCAAAUUCUGCAAAAGGGGCUGUCCAUCACUACCAAAGACCCUAGGAUUCUUGUCACUCACUGCCUGGUACCCAAGAACUGCUGCAGCCCCUCAGGAGAUUCGAA
rnacentral:sRNA from 1 species